GAGUUUGAUCAUGGCUCAGAUUGAACGCUGGCGGCAUGCCUUACACAUGCAAGUCGAACGGCAGCAUGAUCUAGCUUGCUAGAUUGAUGGCGAGUGGCGAACGGGUGAGUAAUACAUCGGAACGUGCCCUGUAGUGGGGGAUAACUAGUCGAAAGAUUAGCUAAUACCGCAUACGACCUGAGGGUGAAAGUGGGGGACCGCAAGGCCUCAUGCUAUAGGAGCGGCCGAUGUCUGAUUAGCUAGUUGGUGGGGUAAAGGCCCACCAAGGCGACGAUCAAUAGCUGGUCUGAGAGGACGAUCAGCCACACUGGGACUGAGACACGGCCCAGACUCCUACGGGAGGCAGCAGUGGGGAAUUUUGGACAAUGGGCGAAAGCCUGAUCCAGCAAUGCCGCGUGUGUGAAGAAGGCC
rnacentral:rRNA from 1 species